rnacentral:rRNA from 1 species
AUUGAACGCUGGCGGCAGGCCUAACACAUGCAAGUCGAGCGGAUGAAGGGAGCUUGCUCCUGGAUUCAGCGGCGGACGGGUGAGUAAUGCCUAGGAAUCUGCCUGGUAGUGGGGGAUAACGUCCGGAAACGGGCGCUAAUACCGCAUACGUCCUGAGGGAGAAAGUGGGGGAUCUUCGGACCUCACGCUAUCAGAUGAGCCUAGGUCGGAUUAGCUAGUUGGUGGGGUAAAGGCCUACCAAGGCGACGAUCCGUAACUGGUCUGAGAGGAUGAUCAGUCACACUGGAACUGAGACACGGUCCAGACUCCUACGGGAGGCAGCAGUAGGGAAUAUUGGACAAUGGGCGAAAGCCUGAUCCAGCCAUGCCGCGUGUGUGAAGAAGGUCUUCGGAUUGUAAAGCACUUUUAGUUGGGAGGAAGAGCAGUAAGUUAAUACCUUGCUGUUUUGACGUUACCAACAGAAUAAGCACCGGCUAACUUCGUG